UAAGACGAACCGUGCGAACGUUGUUCGGAAUCACUGGGCUUAAAGGGCGCGUAGGUGGUCUGCCAAGUCCGGGGUGAAAGCCUCCAGCUCAACUGGAGAAGUGCCUUGGAUACUGGCGGACUCGAGGGAGGCAGGGGUCGUGGGAACUUCCGGUGGAGCGGUGAAAUGCGUUGAUAUCGGAAGGAACGCCGGUGGCGAAAGCGCACGACUGGUCCUCUUCUGACACUGAGGCGCGAAAGCCAGGGGAGCAAACGGGAUUAGAUACCCCGGUAGUCCUGGCCCUAAACGAUGGGUACUAGAUUGUGGGCUUACAUGGGCUCACAGUCGAAGCAAAAGUGGUAAGUACCCCGCCUGGGGAGUAUGGUCGCAAGGCUG
rnacentral:rRNA from 1 species